GGCGUCGAGCGGAGGACGGGUGAGUAACGCGUGAGAAUCUGCCCAUCAGUGGGGGAUAACUCGGGGAAACUCGAGCUAAUACCGCAUACGUCCUACGGGACAAAGCAGGGGACCUUUUGGCCUUGCGCUGAUGGAUGAGCUCGCGUCGGAUUAGCUUGUUGGUGAGGUAAAGGCUCACCAAGGCGACGAUCCGUAGCUGGUCUGAGAGGAUGAUCAGCCACACCGGGACUGAGACACGGCCCGGACUCCUACGGGAGGCAGCAGUGGGGAAUCUUGGACAAUGGGGGCAACCCUGAUCCAGCCAUGCCGCGUGUGUGAAGAAGGCCUUCGGGUUGUAAAGCACUUUCAGUAGGGAGGAAGGCUUUGGGCUAAUACCCUGAAGUACUUGACGUUACCUACAGAAGAAGCACCGGCUAAUUUCGUGCCAGCAGCCGCGGUAAUACGAAAGGUGCAAGCGUUAAUCGGAAUUACUGGGCGUAAAGCGCGCGUAGGCGGUGUGUUAAGUCGGAUGUGAAAGCCCAGGGCUCAACCUUGGAAUUGCAUCCGAUACUGGCACGCUAGAGUGCAGUAGAGGGAGGUGGAAUUUCCGGUGUAGCGGUGAAAUGCGUAGAGAUCGGAAGGAACACCAGUGGCGAAGGCGGCCUCCUGGACUGACACUGACGCUGAGGUGCGAAAGCGUGGGGAGCAAACAGGAUUAGAUACCCUGGUAGUCCACGCCGUAAACGAUGUCUACUAGCCGUCGGGGUCCUUAGUGACUUUGGUGGCGCAGCUAACGCGAUAAGUACACCGCCUGGGGAGUACGGCCGCAAGGUUAAAACUCAAAUGAAUUGACGGGGGCCCGCACAAGCGGUGGAGCAUGUGGGUUUAAUUCGAUGCAACGCGAAGAACCUUACCAGGUCUUGACAUCCUCGGAAUUUGGCAGAGAUGCCUUAGUGCCUUAGGAGCCGAGUGACAGUGCUGCAUGGCCGUCGUCAGCUCGUGUCGUGAGAUGUUGGGUUAAGUCCCGUAACGAGCGCAACCCUUGUCCUUAGUUGCCAGCACGUAAUGGU
rnacentral:rRNA from 1 species